GCGAGUGGCGAACGGGUGAGUAAUACAUCGGAACGUGCCCUGUAGUGGGGGAUAACUAGUCGAAAGAUUAGCUAAUACCGCAUACGACCUGAGGGUGAAAGUGGGGGACCGCAAGGCCUCAUGCUAUAGGAGCGGCCGAUGUCUGAUUAGCUAGUUGGUGAGGUAAAGGCUCACCAAGGCGACGAUCAGUAGCUGGUCUGAGAGGACGAUCAGCCACACUGGGACUGAGACACGGCCCAGACUCCUACGGGAGGCAGCAGUGGGGAAUUUUGGACAAUGGGCGAAAGCCUGAUCCAGCAAUGCCGCGUGUGUGAAGAAGGCCUUCGGGUUGUAAAGCACUUUUGUCCGGAAAGAAAUGGCUCUGGUUAAUACCUGGGGUCGAUGACGGUACCGGAAGAAUAAGGACCGGCUAACUACGUGCCAGCAGCCGCGGUAAUACGUAGGGUCCAAGCGUUAAUCGGAAUUACUGGGCGUAAAGCGU
rnacentral:rRNA from 1 species